CCCUUAGAUGUUCUGGGCCACACGCGCGUUACACUGAUGAAGCCAGCGAGUAUAUCGCCUUCACCGGAAGGUACGGGUAAUCUUGUGAAACUUCAUCGUGCUGGGGAUAGACCAUUGCAAUUAUUGGUCUUGAACGAGGAAUUCCUAGUAAGCAUGAGUCAUCAACUCGUGCUGAUUACGUCCCUGCCCUUUGUACACACCGCCCGUCGCUACUACCGAUUGAAUGGUUUAGUGAGAUCUCGGGAUUGGAGACGUUGCGCCGCAAGGCACAUCGUCCUCGAGAACUUGAUCAAACUUGAUCAUUUAGAGGAAGUAAAAGUCGUAACA
rnacentral:rRNA from 1 species